ensembl:lncRNA
AAAAACUCCCUUGUAGGGUCCAAAUUUAGGAAGAAACAUAGAGAGAAACCAGAUCUGAAGGGUGGCCAGUCCUCUUCUUACUGUGUCAGGUGAAGAUUAUAUGAGUACAUAACCUUUUUGGCCAAAUCAAUGUUUUUGUAUGAUCAGAAGAAAUUCAGGUGAAUAAAUGCAAGUGGGCUUUGACCAGACACCUAAAACAGAAUCAAGGUAUACCGCAUAACCAGGUGGACAGGACUGUCAGGUGGUGUUUGGACUGGGACUGGACUAGGACAGUCAGGUGGUGUUUGGACUGGGACUGGACUAGGACACUCAGGUGGGGUGUGGACUGGGACAAGUGUGGGACAGUCAGGUUGGGUGUGGACUGGGACAAUCAGGUGGGGUGUGGACUGGGACAGAACUGGGACAAUCAGGUGGGGUGUGGACUGGGACUGGACUGGCACAGUCAGGUGGGGUGUGGACUGGGACAAGUGUGGGACAGUCAGGUCGGGUGUGGACUGGGACAAUCAGGUGGGGUGUGGACUGGGACAAGUGUGGGACAGUCAGGUCGGGUGUGGACUGGGACAAUCAGGUGGGGUGUGGACUGGGACAAGUGUGGGACAGUCAGGUCGGGUGUGGACUGGGACAAUCAGGUGGGGUGUGGACUGGGACAGAACUGGGACAAUCAGGUGGGGUGUGGACUGGGACUGGACUGGCACAGUCAGGUGGGGUGUGGACUGGGACAGGACUUGGACAGUCUGGUGGGGUGCGGAUUGGGACAAGACUGGGACAGUCAGGUAGGGUGUGGGCAGCAACACAACCAGGAAAACCUCAGGCAGGGACAGCUGUGAGUAAUUUGGGCCCAGUAGACAUUUUCAGUCAUGUAGGCUUAUACCCAUGGAUAUUUCAAAAAGUUAAAAAACAAUUUUUUACUGAAAUAUAUAAGAACAAUUACCUAAAGGUAAAAUCCAAAACAUGAUAAUUCUUGGUUUAGGUAGCUCAUAAAAAUAUGUGGAAUCAGCCAGCUUGGACAUUAUUAGCUAGAUUAGCAAUGUGUCAUUUGAAUUACAAUAUUAAUCAGUUGCACUCUUUCAACGGUUUUCAAGUUCCUUUCAAAAUGAUUGGAACAGUAAGAUUUUUUUUAAUAAAGGUACAUUUAUUUAAAUACAUUUAUUGUUGCAAUCGUAAGAAAAUCCAUUCGUAAAUGGUAUGAUCGUAAAAACGUUAUAUGUUAAACAUGAAACGUAAUCGUUAAAUUAGAUCUGUGAACGUACAAACACCCAAUGAUGGACUAAUAAUUCUUGUUUGUGCGGAUCUGGUUUUACAAAUCUGAAGUACAUCAAGAGUGUUUUGCCAGUCAUUUAAACUAAUAGAAAAUGUAUUAUUGUGUAUUUUACUUAAAACCUAAACGCAUUAUAGUCUACUGGUGUAUUGUCAAUAUGCAGUCUUAAAAACCAACUACGCACUUUUAUUUUGAACAUUAAAUCAUGAAUCGCAACCGAACACAACGGUAUGGUAGAGCACUGGGCUAGAGGUCUAACUUAUUGUAUCUAGCUCCACAGCUUCGAAGAUCUACGUUCGGGUCAUCUUUGCAGAUGCCACAUUACUGUAAAAAAGUUUGUGCAUAAAAACGGGGGGAAAAGUGGACACGGAAACUAAGAAUUUAAUGUCGAAAAAGUCGCAAAAGGGUGUUUGUGCGUUCACAGAUCAAAUUUCACUCUUACCUUUCAUGUUUGACGUAUUACUUUUUUUUUUUUACAAUCAGUUUAUGUAUGGAUUUCUUAGAAUCAUAAUAAUGCGUACGUUUAAGCCUUUGGCAGAUAUCUAACUCCAUAUGUUUUCCUUAUUUUGUCUUAGUACUCCGACUAUGAAUCUAUGGUCUAACUCAUCCAAACCAGUGUACAUAACCAUAUCUAUUAAUCCAUUUUGCUAAUGAACUGAUGUGUCAGAACAGUCAGCAGAGAUGAUUAAAUCCAUUACAUGAGGACUUCACAACAGGAUGUUAAAGAUGCUGAUAGAAAGAUAUGGGUUUUUAUUCAACUUUAUGACCUAAAGCUUCUAUUUCUUUGAAUCCUAAUAAUUUCCCUUGCUGACAUAAGUACACAGAAUAUGUAGUUCUGUUUCCAUGACUUUAAAACAAACAUAAAUACUAAACAACUAGUUCAACCAUUACUAAUACAACUACUAAUACCACCACCACAACACAAUAUGUAGUACUGUUUCCAUGACUUUAAAUCAAAUAAACAUAUAAACACUAAACAACAUGUUCUACCAUUACUAAUACCACCACCACAGCCCAAUAUGUAGUACUCUUUCCAUGACUUGCAUAUGUAUUUAGAUUUCUGAAAUUUUAUAAUAAAAUAUUACAUUUCUGAAAUAACCAAACAUUUAUGAAAAAAGCAUUUGUUGUUACUUAUGCCAUUACUGGCUUUGCACAGCUAUAUUUGGGUCGUUUCUACCAUUCUUUCUGGCAGAGCAUCUGUGAACAGCAGUCUUCCCCAGAUAUCCAAUCAGGUUUAGUCUGUUCAUGCAUCAGUUUCAAAUAUCACUUAAUGUAUUCUGGAUAAUUAUUGACUAAACAUAAAAAAUGGUGUCCUAUCCUGUGUAUCGCAGCGCAGAAUGUACUGGCACGUUUCACUUGUUUCAAUAAAAUGUAGCUAACUGUCAGACAAUAAGUUGUGUGUUAAUCAUAUAUUUACUAAAUUAUUCUGAAGCACUCAAAAGUUUGACAAAUUAUGAAUUCCGAUUCUUGCGUAUUGAAUAAUUAAGAGGACAAAUACGAUCAGUGAAAAAUUGGUUUUGGAAGACUACGUUGAGUUUUUUUUUAGCUAAUUCCUAUAUGCGCAGCCAUGCCUAUUUAAAUUGCACUGGAAUCUGAGAUUAGUAAGGUAUAUCUGACCAUCUAGAUUUGCAAAUCUGUCCGGAAGACGAGUAAAUGCAAAUGAACCCCAAGUAACAGAGUUGCUCAUCUCGUUACCUUUAUCUUUGGUUGAUAAACAAACAUGGCAGCCUACACAAACAUUAGCUUGCUUCAGGUAACUAGUUUUUAGUUUUUACACAAUGAUUUUGACAGUUUGUCAGCUCUUGCAGGAUAUUGUAAGUUGUUUUAGUCGCUAAUAACAUACAUUUUUGUGUCAAACAUAUGUUUUUUUCACAUUAUGUUCAUUUUGACAAAAUAUGACCGCUGGUUGUUGUCAGUAAACCUUAAUGUAAACCUUCAAAUAAAAGUGUGGUCUGACCAAUUAUUGUUGCGACACUCGUACAUUGGUGUGAUCAUAUGCUUCAGGGACCACUCUAGCCUGAUCACAACAGUGUGAUCAUACGCUUCAGGGACCACUCUAGCCUGAUCACAACGGUCACAGGUCAUUGUCUAACCGAAAGAUUAAUCUUCGCUCCAGUAUGAAGUUCUGUGCUCUCUACAUCAGGAUCAUUUUGUUUUGCUCCAUUCAUCAUUCCCUCAAUCCUGACCAGUCAGUUUCUGCCACUGGAAAGCAACCACAUAGCAUGAUGCUUCCACCACCAUGCUACACCUUAUGCAUGGUAUUAGCCAGGUGAUCUGUAGUAGGCCUACCUUGUUUUUGCCAGGCAUAGCAUUUAGUCCUAAGAGUUAUAGAGAUGUUUCUAGACAUUUUUAAAUAAAUUGGCACAAAUUUCAAAAAAUGUAAUGUGUAGAUUAAGAAAAAUAAUCAAAUCUAUAUACGCACGCAUUCACUCACUACAAAAGCUUGGGGUCAUUUAGAAAUGUUCUUGUUUUCAAAAGAAAGGCAAAUUCAUUGUCCAUUAAAAUAAAUUGUCCAGAAAAAGUGUAAACAUUGUUAAUGUUGUAAAUGACUAUAUAUACAGAUCAUGUAGAAAUGGG